rnacentral:rRNA from 1 species
UACGUAGGGUGCGAGCGUUAAUCGGAAUUACUGGGCGUAAAGCGUGCGCAGGCGGCUUUGUAAGUCAGAUGUGAAAUCCCCGGGCUUAACCUGGGAACUGCAUUUGGGACUGCAAGGCUUGAGUGCGGCAGAGGAGACUGGAAUUCCUGGUGUAGCAGUGAAAUGCGUAGAUAUCAGGAGGAAUACCGAUGGCGAAGGCAGGUCUCUGGGCUGACACUGACGCUCAUGCACGAAAGCGUGGGGAGCAAACAGG